rnacentral:lncRNA from 1 species
CAAUUAUCUGGUAUGAUAGAUGACAAGCAAGGAGCUGAACAGAUGGAAAGAGGGGGUCACUGAUGGAGACCAGAGUUGACCUGUGGCCAAAGAUGGACUGUCAGCCUCCGCAGCAGAAACACGAGAGGAAGAAGAUAAACACUCAAAAGUGGAAAAGAGUCCUGUUUUAAGAGCUAGUGAAAGCCCCAUCCGUUGAAUUUUGGAUAUAAAAAAAGUCCUUCUCCCAAACUGGAAGGUUUUAUUCGCCAGCUACCGCUCAAUCACACCUGUGAAGUUAUUGUUUCUAACACCAUAAACUCGAUAUCCUGGGAUGGCUCAUGGCUUUUGAGUCUCGUGAGAAAUUUCCGAGAGUUACUGCAUUCCCUGCAACUUCUGGGAUCCAGGAAGAAUAUGAUUUGGUCCCUGUCUUCUAGGACGGAAGCCAGCUUUGCAAAUGCAUCAGUACAAAAAUAAUGAGUGAGAGUUGUAUGCGGGAGAGUCAGGAAGAACUGAACACUCUCAAAGAUUACCACUCUGGAACCGGGUUUUAUGCGAACAUGUUGUCACAACCAAGGAAGCAAUCACAC